GACUAUGAUUUAAUCUCCAAAGAACCAAAGCCUUUUGUAUUUGAGGGAAAAGUACGUGGUCCUAUUGUUGUUCCUACGGCAGGCGAGGAAACAUCUGGGAAUUCUGGCAAUUUAAGAAAAGUUGUAAUGAAGGAGAACAUAUCUUCUAAAGGAGAUGAAGGUGAAAAGAAGUCUACCUUUAUGGAUCUAGCAAAAGAAGAUAUUAAAGAUAAUGAUAGAACAUUACAACAGCAGCCAGGUGAUCAAAAUAGAACUAUUUCAUCAGUCCAUGGUUUAAACAAUGAUAUUGUAAAGGCCUUGGACCGAAUUACAUUGCAGAAUAUUCCUUCUCAAACAGCCCCAGGUUUUACUGCAGAAAUGAAGAAGGACUGCAGUCUUCCUCUUACUGUCCUUACCUGUGCUAAAGCAUGUCCACACAUGGCUACUUGUGGAAAUGUUCUGUUUGAGGGAAGAACAGUUCAGCUAGGGAAGCUUUGCUGCACUGGAGUUGAAACUGAAGAUGAUGAAGAUACUGAGUCAAAUUCAUCGGUAGAACAAGCAUCGGUUGAAGUACCUGAUGGACCAACACUCCAUGACCCAGACCUCUAUAUUGAGAUUGUGAAAAAUACGAAGUCUGUCCCAGAAUAUUCAGAGGUGGCUUAUCCCGAUUAUUUUGGUCACAUUCCGCCUCCAUUCAAAGAGCCUAUUUUAGAAAGGCCUUAUGGUGUACAAAGGACAAAAAUUGCUCAAGAUAUUGAAAGGCUAAUACAUCAGAGUGAUAUCAUAGAUCGUGUGGUAUAUGACUUGGAUAACCCAAAUUACACCAUUCCAGAAGAGGGAGAUAUUUUGAAAUUUAACUCCAAAUUUGAGUCUGGGAAUCUGCGCAAAGUAAUUCAAAUUAGAAAAAAUGAAUAUGAUCUUAUUCUGAACUCAGACAUAAACAGCAAUCAUUAUCAUCAGUGGUUUUACUUUGAAGUCAGUGGAAUGCGACCAGGUGUUGCUUACAGGUUUAACAUCAUUAACUGUGAAAAGUCCAACAGUCAGUUUAAUUAUGGUAUGCAACCACUCAUGUAUUCGGUUCAGGAAGCAUUAAAUGCCAGACCAUGGUGGAUUCGUAUGGGGACUGACAUUUGUUACUAUAAAAAUCAUUUCUCAAGAAGUUCAGUUGCUGCAGGUGGGCAAAAGGGAAAAUCCUACUAUACAAUUACAUUUACUGUCAAUUUUCCACAUAAAGAUGAUGUUUGCUACUUUGCUUAUCACUAUCCAUAUACGUAUUCAACUUUACAGAUGCAUCUUCAAAAAUUGGAAUCAGCACACAAUCCUCAGCAAAUCUAUUUUCGGAAAGAUGUGUUAUGUGAAACCCUGUCUGGAAACAGCUGCCCCUUGGUGACUAUAACAGCAAUGCCAGAGUCUAAUUAUUAUGAACAUAUCUGCCAUUUCAGAAAUCGCCCUUACGUUUUCUUGUCUGCUCGGGUACAUCCUGGAGAAACUAAUGCAAGUUGGGUUAUGAAAGGAACGUUGGAAUAUCUCAUGAGCAAUAACCCCACUGCUCAGAGCUUACGAGAAUCUUAUAUUUUUAAAAUUGUCCCUAUGUUAAAUCCAGAUGGUGUCAUCAAUGGAAAUCAUCGCUGUUCUUUAAGUGGAGAGGAUUUGAAUAGGCAGUGGCAAAGUCCAAGUCCGGAUUUACAUCCUACAAUUUACCAUGCUAAGGGGCUGUUGCAAUACUUGGCUGCAGUGAAGCGUUUACCCUUGGUUUAUUGUGAUUAUCAUGGCCAUUCCCGAAAGAAGAAUGUAUUUAUGUAUGGUUGCAGCAUCAAAGAGACAGUGUGGCAUACCAAUGAUAAUGCAACUUCAUGUGAUGUUGUGGAGGAUACGGGAUACAGGACAUUGCCUAAGAUACUGAGCCAUAUCGCCCCAGCAUUUUGCAUGAGCAGCUGUAGCUUCGUAGUGGAAAAAUCUAAAGAAUCCACAGCACGUGUUGUAGUUUGGAGGGAAAUAGGAGUACAAAGAAGUUAUACCAUGGAGAGUACUUUAUGUGGCUGUGAUCAGGGAAAAUACAAGGGUUUACAGAUUGGUACCCGAGAACUGGAAGAGAUGGGAGCAAAAUUUUGUGUUGGUCUUUUACGUUUGAAAAGACUGACCUCUCCAUUGGAGUAUAAUCUGCCUUCCAGCCUGCUUGACUUUGAAAAUGAUUUAAUUGAAUCAAGCUGCAAAGUAACUAG
rnacentral:circRNA from 1 species